rfam:Chelonia mydas contig267025, whole genome shotgun sequence.
ACAACGGCUCUUUUAAGAGCCACCCUAAACCAUUUCCAGAAGAGCU